rnacentral:lncRNA from 1 species
CUGCAGAGAAGCCAAGAUAGUGCAUUUCUAACAAACUUCAAAUGGCUUACAUACUGCUAGUCCUGAGACCAUAUUUUGAGUAGUGAAGAGCUAGAGUCCUAAGACCAUAAGGUCACUGAAGACUGGACUGCUGGCUUUUUCCUGGAGCUCUGAGUUCUGCUGGAUGGCACUAAGUAUUUGUGUUGGAAAGGUUGAGGAGCAAAACCCUAGGGCACAAAGAAGAGACACAUGAAGAGAAGAUUCAGCAAUUCCAGUUCUUUUCCAGGCCAAGAGGAAAGUCAGCAAGGAUGCCUGAUACUUUUGAGGUAAAUCUUCUGAGCAGAUGAGAUUAAGAAAAGUGAAUUAGGAUGUUUUGGAAAACUAAGAUCAUCUCAGC